rnacentral:rRNA from 1 species
UACGGGAGGCAGCAGUGGGGAAUAUUGCACAAUGGGCGCAAGCCUGAUGCAGCCAUGCCGCGUGUAUGAAGAAGGCCUUCGGGUUGUAAAGUACUUUCAGUCGUGAGGAAGGUGUUAAGGUUAAUAACCUUAGCAAUUGACGUUAGCGACAGAAGAAGCACCGGCUAACUCCGUGCCAGCAGCCGCGGUAAUACGGAGGGUGCGAGCGUUAAUCGGAAUUACUGGGCGUAAAGGGCACGCAGGCGGUUAAUUAAGUUGGAUGUGAAAUCCCCGGGCUUAACCUGGGAAUGGCAUUCAAGACUGGUUAGCUAGAGUCUUGUAGAGGGGGUAGAAUUCCAUGUGUAGCGGUGAAAUGCGUAGAGAUGUGGAGGAAUACCGGUGGCGAAGGCGGCCCCGUGGACAAAGGACUGGACGCUCAUGUGCGAAAGCGUGGGGAGCAAAC